GAUGAACGCUGGCGGCGUGCCUAAUACAUGCAAGUCGAGCGAACGGACGAGAAGCUUGCUUCUCUGAUGUUAGCGGCGGACGGGUGAGUAACACGUGGAUAACCUACCUAUAAGACUGGGAUAACUUCGGGAAACCGGAGCUAAUACCGGAUAAUCUUUUGAACCGCAUGGUUCAAAAGUGAAAGACGGUAUUGCUGUCACUUAUAGAUGGAUCCGCGCUGCAUUAGCUAGUAGGUAAGGUAACGGCUUACCAAGGCAACGAUGCAUAGCCGACCUGAGAGGGUGAUCGGCCACACUGGAACUGAGACACGGUCCAGACUCCUACGGGAGGCAGCAGUAGGGAAUCUUGCGCAAUGGGCGAAAGCCUGACGGAGCAACGCCGCGUGAGUGAUGAAGGUCUUCGGAUCGUAAAACUCUGUGAUUAGGGAAGAACAUAUGUGUAAGUAACUGUGCACAUCUUGACGGUACCUAAUCAGAAAGCCACGGCUAACUACGUG
rnacentral:rRNA from 1 species